AGGUAGUAAUGCUGAGCAUCGAAUCCAGAUAAAUUUGAAUAAUUUAAAUCCACUAACAUCAUAACUGUUGAAAUGUGUCUCGUUUGACGAUAUCUACUAUCUUGGUAGUUUCCACUUGUUUAGUACCUAUAGCCCAUUUGAGACAAACGAAUAGACUGCAUCCGAGAUCCGGAUUGCGAAAUUGUAAUCCGGAUUCCGGAUCGAUCGAAUUGUUGCUCACGGUGCUAGUAAGUAGCAAUAGCACGUUGAAUAACAGCCAAAAUCGCCGUGUGGCCCGUGCAACGCGUGUGCCAC